AACGAACGCUGGCGGCAUGCCUAACACAUGCAAGUCGAACGAGACCUUCGGGUCUAGUGGCGCACGGGUGCGUAACGCGUGGGAACCUGCCCUUAGGUUCGGAAUAACUCCCCGAAAGGGGUGCUAAUACCGGAUAAUGUCUUCGGACCAAAGAUUUAUCGCCUUUGGAUGGGCCCGCGUUGGAUUAGCUAGUUGGUAGGGUAAAAGCCCACCAAGGCGACGAUCCAUAGCUGGUCUGAGAGGAUGAUCAGCCACACUGGGACUGAGACACGGCCCAGACUCCUACGGGAGGGAGGAGUGGGGAAUAUUGGACAAUGGGCGAAAGCCUGAUCCAGCAAUGCCGCGUGAGUGAUGAAGGCCUUAGGGCUGUAAAGCUCUUUUACCCGGGAUGAUAAUGACAGUACCGGGAGAAUAAGCUCCGGCUAACUCCGUG
rnacentral:rRNA from 1 species